rnacentral:lncRNA from 1 species
CCUUCAUAGAAAUGUAUUCAUCAUUCAUUUUUACAUCUACAGGAGGCAGCCAGUGCAAGUCUGGGUGGUGCUCCACUGUGUUAGGCACUCACAUUCCUGCCAUCUUGUUCUUCAGGCGAUCCUCUCCAGGACCCACCCUUGGAAGCCUGAAUCCAUCAGUGUGAGCGUGCCACGAGUGACUCCAUUCUGCUCAAGACAAUUUCCCCACUGUGAAUCAACUGCGCUGCGUCCUGAGAGCCUAGAGAAGCAGCGUGCGGGGCAAGGCUGUAAGGAAUCCACCGAGUGCUGCUGCGCUGUGGGUGUCAUGCUGCAGAAAGGUGCUUGCUUAGCGUGUGAUCUCCAGCACUGCAAUAAAUAAGUAAACAAACAUCGAAACAUUUUUUAAAAAGGAAUUUGUUUAGUGAAUGAAAGCUCUGGUCCGGGCUGGUCUGCAGCAA